UCACAAAAUAUCAAAUCAGGUGUCUCUGAUUGUAAAUAAAUCCACACAAACGUUUCACAACUGAAACAAAAGCAAGUUUGAACUGCUAAAUCAUUAGAUGCAGUUGAUGAGGAUGAAGAUAGUGUUUUUUUGUGGUUUGAUAACAUUGAUAAUAAUCAUAAAUGUUUCUUGAGCAGCAAAUCAUAAUAUUAGAAUGAUUUCUGAAGGAUCAUGUGACACUGAAGACUGGAGUAAUGAUGCUGAAAAUUCAGCUUUGAUCACAGGAAUAAAUUACACUUUACUAUAUAUUCACAUAGAAAACUGCUGUUUUACAUUGGAAUAAUAUUUCACUGUUUUUACUGUAUUUUUGAUUAAAUAAAGCAGCCUUGGUGAGCAGAAGAGACUUCUUUCUUUCAAAAACAUUAAAAAAUCCUAAUUUUCCCAAAAGUGUACAUCCACUGAUUCACAAAAACAGCAGGUGAUUCAGACAUGAUGAAUAAAAGUUACAUUAAGAUGAUUUCUGCUGCCGUAUUCUGCAUAAUUAUCAGACGUUUGUUCUCAGGAGGAAAAACUACUGUAACGGAAAGACUUUCAGGAAUUUUCCACCUGAGUUUAGCACAAUCUCUCUCUCUCUCUCUCUCUCUCCCUCGUCUUCCAUCGCUGUGUAAUUAUGAUAAAUCUGUUAUCCUACUUCAGUCUUUGUGGUGCUAAAAACAGGCCUCAGUUGUGCCGUGAGCUGGAGAUGUUAUCCGCCUCCAAAGACUCGAGAACAUCUGAGGCUCUGUUUCAUCUCACUGCUGUCGAGGAGAAGCAUCUCGUCUCUCAGAGCGCUCGGCGUUCACGCUCUCUCCGGAUCUGUUUAGUGAGGAUUUCAGAGCGGAUGAAGAGGAAGGCUGAGAGAAAUCGUCGAGACUCUGGAGAUAUCGAUUGGCUUCUGAAGGUCUCCUGACUGUGUGAACAUCACAUCUGUUUGACAAACACAUCAUGACAGACAUCUUCUGCUUACAAACACGUGUGCGUGAAGGACGGCUCCUCUGGGCUGAUGGAUGAUGUUCCUUCACAAAAAGAAACUUGUUAAAUUCUCAGCUGCCGACUUCUGCCUCCGCUGCCUGAUCAAAGGCUAUUAAAAAUAUUACUAUUGAUGAAAUGUUAGUUUUGAUCAAUGGUUGGAAUAUUAAGAGUCCUGAUUACGGCUGA